GACGCUACCCUUCCUGAGCUGAGAAAGAAGCUAGGGGUCCCUUGAGAGGGGAAUAGGUGGAGUCGACGCCUUGUAAGCGGGGUGUUACGCACAAGGGUGUGCCACUCCCGCCUAAGACGUCAGCUAUGGCUCUGUAGGGUGUGAUGAGUGCUUUACCGAGCGCUCAUCCACCGCCUUGAACACCUACCCUAGCAGACACGGCCCUCGCAGUUUCUUGCGUGGCCCGUGGUCAUUGUCUAUCACUCCUGAGCUA
rnacentral:siRNA from 1 species